rnacentral:lncRNA from 1 species
GCCUGAUUCUCAGGGCCAUCCUCAAAGCAGGUGUCCCCACCCCACUUCCUGGAUGAGGAAGUCCGCUCUGGGAAGAGAGAGAGACCUGCCCGGGAUGACACAACUGCGAGUGGCAGAAACCCCGGUCCCUGGAGAAGUCAGCUCAUGGACAGCAGAACAUGGCGACUUCUUUUCCUUCAGGAAGUCUGCCAGGAAGACCAGCC